CCCGGUCCUCCCCCGCUCCCUCCGCGCCUCCUCGGCGUUAAUCCCGGAUUAAUCUGGAGCUGAUUAAUGAAGCAAGCGCUGAAGAGCCAAACCUGCAGUUCCUCUGACGUCCAGCAGAGGCAGCAGGGCGUGGCUUCUUUGACUCACAGGUGAAUGGUGACACAGGCGGCUGUAGCUGCUCGCUGUCUGCUGGCUUCACCUGAGCUGGAGCCUUUUGGAGCCUUUUUAAUGACAUCAUGUGACCAAUAACAUGGCUGCUGUGAGGUUACUGUAAUAACAGAGCGUCUGGGGAAGCGGAGCUACAGUUUGGGUACUCAGAGGCUACGGCCACACGUACCGGGGUAUUUUUGAAAACGCAGAUUUUUCUAUGCAUUUGCACCUUUCGUCCACACAUAAACAGCGUUUUCGGUCACUGAAAAUGGAGAUUUUUAAAAACUU